GCGGAGCAGGCGCUUAGGUUGCCAUAGGGCUGCGGGCUGGGCUUACCUGUGUGCACAUGCAGGACGCUGGCAGAGCAGGUGCCAGCCCAUGCCAGAGCCGCAAGCCUAGUCCCUUGUGUAUCAGCAUAGCCCAAAGCGCCUGUUAAACGUGCCGGAGAGUGCCUGGGGUUUAAACUGCAUGGGAGGUCCCUUGCCUGGGUUUCACGUCUCACUGGCCGGUUGUACGGGAGUAGCAAACAUUUCCCUUGUCUAAUCCCCUGUAACUAAAUGACCCCCAAACGAGCCAGGAAAGGAGAUUGAAGCUUGUGGCAUGCAAAUGAGGGACUUCAACAGCAGAGUGCUAAUUUCAGAGUGACUGGUGACUGGCGGUCAGAGACUCCCUGUGUGUUCCUCCUCCCUGGCCUCCAAGGCAGCGCCUGUCUGGGUAGGGGCCCCCCAGCUUGUAAAUCUGGCUUCUAGGAAAGACCCUUGUCUCUGGCCUGCUUGGACUCUGACAGGGAAGUGCCCAGAUGCAAAGCGGAGACCCUCAGAGACCACCUGGGAACCUGAAAAGCCUUCUGAGAAAUAGCACUUGAUUCCGCUACAGCCGCCAUUCAGAGUGACAGGCUGAGACUCUCUGUGCAUAUUGUUUACCUGCCUUAACGUCGCUACAAUUCUUCUUUCCUCUUCUCUGCUAAUAAAUGGUUAGUUUACUA